rnacentral:rRNA from 1 species
AGAGUUUGAUCCUGGCUCAGGAUGAACGCUGGCGGCGUGCCUAACACAUGCAAGUCGAGCGAUCUUCUUCGGAAGAGAGCGGCGGACGGGUGAGUAACGCGUGGGUAACCUGCCCUGUACACACGGAUAACAUACCGAAAGGUAUGCUAAUACGGGAUAACAUAAGAAAUUCGCAUGUUUUUCUUAUCAAAGCUCCGGCGGUACAGGAUGGACCCGCGUCUGAUUAGCUAGUUGGUGAGGUAACGGCUCACCAAGGCGACGAUCAGUAGCCGACCUGAGAGGGUGAUCGGCCACAUUGGAACUGAGACACGGUCCAAACUCCUACGGGAGGCAGCAGUGGGGAAUAUUGCACAAUGGGCGAAAGCCUGAUGCAGCAACGCCGCGUGAGCGAUGAAGGCCUUCGGGUCGUAAAGCUCUGUCCUCAAGGAAGAUAAUGACGGUACUUGAGGAGGAAGCCCCGGCUAACUACGUGCCAGCAGCCGCGGUAAUACGUAGGGGGCUAGCGUUAUCCGGAUUUACUGGGCGUAAAGGGUGCGUAGGCGGUCUUUUAAGUCAGGAGUGAAAGGCUACGGCUCAACCGUAGUAAGCUCUUGAAACUGGAGGACUUGAGUGCAGGAGAGGAGAGUGGAAUUCCUAGUGUAGCGGUGAAAUGCGUAGAUAUUAGGAGGAACACCAGUAGCGAAGGCGGCUCUCUGGACUGUAACUGACGCUGAGGCACGAAAGCGUGGGGAGCAAACAGGAUUAGAUACCCUGGUAGUCCACGCCGUAAAC